UUGUAUUUGCAAAUAUGUGUAAUUUAAACGUUGGAAUGUGGUGUUUAAUAUCAAAUUCACAUAAAUUUGGCCUAAUGAAGUUAUUGAUAGGAUUUACAAAAAAAAAACAUGCCAUCAUGGUACUAUGACAAGAAAGAUCUUCGCAACACCCCGUCUGUUUUAGAUGGGAUCAGUAUUGAAACAGAACAGUGGUACAGGAAGGAAGGAGCUCGAUUCAUCAUUAAUAUGGGAAUUAAAAUGGGAUUAAGGUAUGAUACAAUUGCAACUGGAGUGAUGUACUUUCAUCGUUUCUACAUGAUUCAUUCAUUUAAGACUUUCCCAAAAUAUGUAACUGCUUGUAGCUGUUUGUUUCUUGCUGGGAAAGUUGAAGAAACCCCCAAGAAAUGUAAAGAUAUAAUCAAAAUGGCGCAAAGCUUUCUAACAGAGCAACAAGUUUUACAAUUUGGAGAGGACUCAAAGGAAGAAGUCAUGACAUUAGAAAGGAUUCUUCUUCAGACCAUGAAGUUUGAUCUGCAAGUUGACCAUCCUUAUAGACAUCUUUUGAAAUAUGCAAAAUCAUUGAAAGGUGACAAACAAAAAUUACAAAAGAUGGUACAGAUGGCCUGGACUUUUAUUAAUGACAGCUUGUGUACAACAAUAUGUCUGCAGUGGGAACCAGAAAUAAUAGCAAUUGCCUUGAUAUUUCUUGCUGGAAAACUUUCUAAAUUUGAAGUAUUGGACUGGUCUGGAAGAACAUCAAAACAUCAGCAUUGGUGGGAGGUUUUUGUAGAGGACUUGACAAUAGAUGUGUUAGAAGAUAUUUGUCACCAAGUUUUGGACUUGUAUUCCACUCCAACUCCCAGUAUUCCAGAAAAUUCUUUCCCUUCGACAUCACCACUGAAAUCUGAUAAACAACUACAACCUUUAACAUCACCACCACAACUUUCACUGUCGCCACCUCAACAACCUACAAGCAAAGAAUCACCUUUGGGCCAGUCUAUUCCAAAAGUAGAAAAGAAUGAGCUUAAAGAUUUUAACUUGCAUGAAGAUUCUACUAUGUCAACCAUACCACUCAUUGUAGCAGCUACUGCUUCAAUCUCAACUAUCCAGACAGCUCAAGAUUCUCCCUAUAAGGAUGAACCUGUCACUCCAAUUACUACCACUGGUAGUAAUGUAAACAUUUCCAGUCAACAGCAGGAGCCAGUCAUAAGUAGUGAAAUGACAGCUAGAGCUAGGACUGUCCCUAACGGUGGAUGCUCAGAUCAGUCUGCUCCAACAAGUCAUUGUUCCUACCCCACUUCUAUUUCUCCUCUUGCCCCAUGCAAUACUCCUUUCCCUCUAACCACAAAUCAAUAUUACCAUCAUCCAGAGAUCAAAUCUCACCCACAAUUACAAUGUUAUCGUUUCCCCACUCUUCCAUCCAACCAAACACCGUACAACUUCCAGCAUCCUACUUUGCAUACUAGACCUUUUCUCAGGCCCCAUAACCCACCUCCACGAUUUGCUGAUCAUUACUCCAGCCAACCACAAUGUCCCCCCUCAACACAGUACAGUGUCCCUCCACUUCCUACAAUACCUUCUCAGUACCCUCCAUUUUCUUCUAACCCACAUCAAGUCAUGUCUCGCCCACCACAACCACCUUUACAAACAGGUCGACCACCAACAGGCUUUGGAGGUUACCAGCCAUCUGUUGUUACUAACUUACAACAACCACCACCACAACCACCUUCUACAGGAAUCCCUCAAGUGAGAAUUACUGGAAGAUUUUAGAUUUCAAGUUUUGAAACUUUGUGAAUUUACAAUAUUAUUAUGAUACCUUAUAAACUAACAAACCAAUUUUCAUUGAAUCUGUGUUGUCAUUGGUUAAAACUGUAAAGGUUCAUACUAAUUUUGGUUUGGAUUACUAGGCUUUUGUUGGAUUAGGCAAUAUGCUUUUGUUGGAUUGACAAGAUGUUUUAGAACAGCAUUCUAAGUUUUCUUGCCAGUAAAUUUAAUUGUUAUAUAAGUUAUAUCUAUUGGAUAAAUUAAAAUAUUUUAAUUUGAGAAAACGACUUAGGAUUUCUCUAUUAGCAAAAUACAUAAGAUAUGUCAAGUAAUAGAAUAAAGAAUAGCAACAUUGUUGAUCUUUUGAAGCAACAGCUACAAAUAAGAACUCAUAUUCAGUAUAUCAUUAAAAUAAUGUUUAUUAAGAAUGUAGGAUGUAAUAUGUAUAAAAUGUAUAAUUUAUGGAGCUAGUGAAGCAGUGUAAUAUCUUUUCAUUAGAUAUUCUUGUUGUGGUUAACUGUAUUCCAGGUUAUGCCAGUAGAAUAUUUUCUAAAGUUCAGAGUUUUUGUUUCUGUGUAAAGUUUAUUCUUGAAGCUAUAUGAAUAAAUUGUUUUUUUAGUUCU
rnacentral:misc_RNA from 1 species